AUUCCAGACUCCUACGGGAGGCAGCAGUGGUUUAUAUUGCACAAUUUGUUAAACCCUGAUGCAUCAACGCCGCUUUAUUGAGGAAGUCUUUCGGUAUGUAAAUCUCUAUCAGCAUUGAAUAGAAAAGAAUUUACCUGAAAAAGAAUCCCCGGCUAACCACGUUCCAGCAGCCGCGUUAAUACGUAGGGGGCAAGCGUUAUCCGGAUUUACUGUGUGUAAAGGGAGCGUAGACGGAAAGGCAAGUCAGAAGUGAAAGACAAAGGCUCAACAAUGGGACUGCUUUUGAAACUGGCAAACUAGAGUACGGGAGAGGUAAGAGGAAUUCCUAGUGUAGAGGUGAAAUGAGUAGAUAUUAGGAGGAACACCAGUGGCGAAGGAGUCUUACUGGACAGAAACUGAAGUUGAGGCUCGAAAGAGUGGGGAGCAAAAAGGAUUAGAUACCCGAGUAC
rnacentral:rRNA from 1 species